CCUACGGGUGGCAGCAGUGAGGAAUCUUGGUCAAUGGACGAGAGUCUGAACCAGCCAAGUAGCGUGAAGGAUGACUGCCCUAUGGGUUGUAAACUUCUUUUAUAUGGGAAUAAAAUGUUCCACGUGUGGGAUUUUGUAUGUACCAUAUGAAUAAGGAUCGGCUAACUCCGUGCCAGCAGCCGCGGUAAUACGGAGGGUCCGAGCGUUAUCCGGAUUUAUUGGGUUUAAAGGGAGCGUAGGUGGAUUGUUAAGUCAGUUGUGAAAGUUUGUGGCUCAACCGUAAAAUUGCAGUUGAAACUGGCAGUCUUGAGUACAGUAGAGGUGAGCGGAAUUCGUGGUGUAGCGGUGAAAUGCUUAGAUAUCACGAAGAACUCCGAUUGCGAAGGCAGCUCACUGGACUGCAACUGACACUGAGGCUCGAAAGUGUGGGUAGCAAACAGGAUUAGAUACCCUAGUAGUC
rnacentral:rRNA from 1 species